UAGGUGGCAGAACAAAGCUAAAAAUCUC
rnacentral:piRNA from 1 species